GAUUGGCCGAAAGGCCGUGUCUUCAUCCACACACACCGUGAACCAAUCUCCGAGGGUCGCUUUGAGGGUCUUCCUGUCUUUGUUGAUGGGGGGACCUGGCCCGGAGGAGCCACACAAACAAAAUGUAAAGAAUGUAAACUAUCGUAACAAAAACAAAACUUUCAACAACGGAUCUCUUGGCUCU
rnacentral:misc_RNA from 1 species